UUUACAGACUGCAGGCAGGGAAGGGACUGAGUGCUUGGUAUGUCUUUGUUCCUACUUCUAUACGAUAGCAAAACUAUAUUUUUGUGACAUCAGAAGACUCAGCGGAAGCAAUGCAUAAUCAGUGCUGUUCGGGUGUGUGAUACUCUCCCAUUCUGCUUUGAGGGCCACCAGCUUCAAUUUAACAUCAUCCAGUUCAAUACCACAUUCUAGAGAUGAUGGAAUUUCAAAUCAGAGAAAGAAAACUCCUUAUUUUAUGGUCAGUGAAUAAAUUUGCCAUCUUUU